rnacentral:piRNA from 1 species
UUAAGAUGGAGGCAAGAAAACUG